rnacentral:rRNA from 1 species
UACAGAGGUCUCAAGCGUUGUUCGGAUUCAUUGGGCGUAAAGGGUGCGUAGGUGGCGCGGUAAGUCGGGUGUGAAAUUUCGGAGCUUAACUCCGAAACUGCAUUCGAUACUGCCGUGCUUGAGGACUGGAGAGGAGACUGGAAUUUACGGUGUAGCAGUGAAAUGCGUAGAGAUCGUAAGGAAGACCAGUGGCGAAGGCGGGUCGUCGUGGACAGUUCCUGACACUGAGGCACGAAGGCCAGGGGAGCAAACGGG